rnacentral:rRNA from 1 species
CCUACGGGAGGCAGCAGUGGGGAAUAUUGCACAAUGGGGGAAACCCUGAUGCAGCGACGCCGCGUGAGUGAAGAAGUAUCUCGGUACGUAAAGCUCUAUCAGCAGGGAAGAAAAUGACGGUACCUGACUCAGAAGCCCCUGCUAACUACGUUCCAGCAGCCGCGCUAAUACGUAGGGGGCCAGCGUUAUCCGGAUUUACUGGGUGUAAAGGGAGCGUAGACGGCAGGACAGUUCUGGAGUGAAAUCCCGGGGCUUAACCUCGGAACUGCCUUGGAAACUGUGAGGCUGGAGUGCAGGAGGGGUGAGCGGAAUUCCUGGUGUAGCGGUGAAAUGCGUAGAUAUUAGGAGGAACACCGGUGGCGAAGGCGGCUUACUGGACUGUAACUGACGUUGAGGCUCGAAAGCGUGGGGAGCAAACAGGAUUAGAUACCCUGGUAGUC